GUAUCAAUAAGCGGAGGAAAAGAAACUAACAAGGAUUCCCCUAGUAACGGCGAGUGAAGCGGGAACAGCUCAAAUUUGAAAUCUCCUAGGUUCCCUAGGCGAAUUGUAGUUUAGAGAAGCGUUAUCGGAGUUGGCCUCAGUACAAGUUCUUUGGAACAUGACAUCACAGAGGGUGAAAAUCCCGUCUUUGACUGAGAGUCCUUCUCUAUGUGGUACGUUUUCCAAGAGUCGGUUUGUUUGGGAAUGCAGACCAAAAUGGGUGGUAAAUACCAUCUAAAGCUAAAUAUUGGCGAGAGACCGAUAGCGCACAAGUA
rnacentral:rRNA from 1 species